AUUGAACGCUGGCGGCAGGCCUAACACAUGCAAGUCGAACGAGUGGCGGACGGGUGAGUAAUUUCUGGGAAACUGCCUGAUGGAGGGGGAUAACUACUGGAAACCGUAGCUAAUACCGCAUACCAUCAGAUGUGCCCAGAUGGUAUUGGCUUGUGGGUGGGGUAAAGGCUCACCAAGGCGAGGAGCCCUAGCUGGGCUGAGAGGAUGACCAGCCACACUGGAACUGAGAAACGGUCCAGACUCCUACGGGAGGCAGCAGUGGGGAAUAUUGCACAAUGGGCGCAAGCCUGAUGCAGCCAGGCCGCGUGUAUGAAGAAGGCCUUCGGGUUGUAAAGUACUUUCAGCGGGGAGGCGGUACACGAAGAAGAAGCACCGGCUAACUCCGUGCCAGCAGCCGCGGUAAUAG
rnacentral:rRNA from 1 species